UCCCUGGUGGUCCAGUGGUUAGGACUCUGAACUUCCACUACAGGGGCCCCAGGUUCCACCUCUGGUCAAGGAA
rnacentral:tRNA from 1 species